GCCGUCUAUCCCCUUUAACAUUCAGCCCCAUCAGUGCUAAUAUGCCAUCAUUGAUAGGUUUGCACAUAAAGGCUCCAUUUGUAGUUGCAUGACAUUUUUGAUGGUGGGGAUUAAUUAUUCACAAGUUAGGAUUAAGGUAGGCACACACGCAGGGGAGAUGGGCAGUGGCUACCGGUGGAGGGUCAAUAAACUCUCCCAACAAACAAAAUACUAAGUAGUGUUGCUUGGGGUCGAUUGUAGAGAUAGCAGCUUUUUUUCCUAUCUCUCUCUCUCUCUCCCUCCCUCCCUCCCCCUCUCUCUUUCUCUCUCUUUAAAGGAAAAUGAUUUAAUAAAUGAAACCGCGACAACAGUUAUGUUUGUUGGCAUAAAGGGGGGUGGGAAGUGUGGGACUGCAGGGUUUGACAAACGGCUGUGUGGACAUUUCAACGCGCAAUACCCCGGGAAGGAGCUGCAGAGCUGUGCGCAGAGAGCCAAGACACUCACCGUCUUCAAGUCUCUCCAUGCGCUCUGUAAACACAGCCAGCCCGGCACACUCUGCUCACUGAAGGCUGAUAUUUUCAUAAGCUAAAUGCUGUCGUUCGCAAUGAUUUGUUCGCUCACGCUUGACUUUUCUCUUUCUUUUUUUUAAUCUCCCAUCAUCCUCAUUUGGACAAUCUUGGUACAGAAUAAGCAUGAGGCCUGCAUCCACCCACAUGUAAUUGAGAGAAGUUUAAGUGGAGACCGAGAAACCGAGGAGUUAAUAGCGGUGACCCUCUUGCUGUGCCACUGUCGCUCAUCAUUUAUCAGGCUUAAGGGGCUUAAACAGGCAGCGCGGACCCACCUUUUAUCACACAUCAAACCCUCUCUGCCUUAUCUACAUUUGAAGAAAUGAACGCAUCGUUGGCUCUUAUGCGGAUUUGGAAACAGAAACACGUCCAAUAAAGACGCCCUCCUCCGCUGAUCAGAGGAAAAAUGUCUCCAGGCGCGCGGAGAGACAAACCCAGCGGUUUAAGCCCUUAUUAAACUGUCUUAAUUCCUCCCUCCGCCUCAUUUAAACGCCAUCCUUCUGUUGUUUGUCCAGCAUGGAAACGGAGGAACGGGAGCGCGGUGGGCGUCAUGCUUUCAAAAUGAUUAGAAUAAAAUUAACCCCUGAAGUGCGUCUGUCCGGAGCGGCCAUAAAAACCGGCUGUUUAAAAAAAAAAAGAAGGAAAAUGUUGAUAAAUCUUAAAUAAAUGAUCUGGGGAAUAUUCAUCGAGUCAAAUAUGGCGAUUUAUUUAAUAAAAUUUUAUUUUGCCUGCAAUGAAUAAAUAUUUAUUGUGUUGUUUUCUGGGAGAAGUUCGGGUCCAUGCCCCACUUGUCGGCUCAGUGGAUCCAGCUGCAUUCACGUGGAGCGACGCAGUUUGAUAUUCCAGUCACACCAAGAGAGCAAACACGGCUUUUCUAUUCAGCCCACGUCACUGAUAAACAUCUACAGCCGCCAAUUCAAAACAAACAAAUUCAAACGGCUAAUUUAACUUCUAAAUGUCUAAAGUUGUAUUUCUUUAUUUUUCAUUUUUUUAUUUGUUGUUUAGAUCAUUUAUAUCUUUAUUUGCAGCAUGUAUAAAAUACUCCUGGUCGUUUUAAAAACUAUUUCCGUGUCUUUUUCAUGUUUUAUAAUGUAAAUAUUAAAGUAUUUUCAAAUGAAC